GUCUAUGGCCAUGCCACCCUGAACAUGCCCAAUCUCAUCAGAUCUCGGAAACCACGCAGGGUUGGGCCUGGUUAGUACUUGAAUGGGAGACCCCCUAGGAAUACCAGGUGCUGUAGGUG
rnacentral:rRNA from 1 species